UGAAUAGCACGUGAGAUGAAAUUCAUUAAAUAUUUCAAAAUAAAACCAUGUUAUGAGCCACCAUCAUCUAUCAGGGACUUAAUCCUGCAGGCCAAUGGUUUUAAGACCUUUGAAUUUCAAAGAUCAAAAAUACUUUUCAAGUUUUAAUUUAAAAUUUAGAAAGAACUUCUAUUUCUGACCCGUAAAUCUAAAAUAGCAAGUAGCACCUAACCUCAUCCCCAAUCUUUUUAAAUGGGCAUUUUAUACGCUCCUAAAACAU
rnacentral:lncRNA from 1 species